rnacentral:rRNA from 1 species
GGAAUCAACGCUGGCGGCGUGCCUCAGACAUGCAAGUCGAACGCGAAAGCCUCCUUCGGGGGGCAAGUAGAGUGGCGCACGGGUGAGUAACACGUAGGUAAUCUACCUUCGGAUGGGGAAUAACAAUCGGAAACGGUUGCUAAUACCGCAUAAUGCAGCGGCACCUAAUGGUGACAGUUGUUAAAGCGGGGGAUCGAAAGACCUCGCGUCUGAAGAGGAGCCUGCGGCGGAUUAGCUAGUUGGUAAGGUAAUGGCUUACCAAGGCUACGAUCC